rnacentral:lncRNA from 1 species
UUCAUUGAAGGUCCCAGAAUCGGGCGUUUCGAGAAUGGUGGGAAAUCCAUUGCCUUGCGCGGCCACAGCGCCUCCCUCGUCGUCCUCGGCACCUUCCUUCUCUGGUUCGGGUGGUACGGGUUCAAUCCCGGGUCAUUCGUCAAAAUCCUGGCACCAUACAACUCUGGGAACUUUUACGGCCAGUGGAGCGCUGUCGGACGAACCGCCGUCACCACAACACUUGCCGGUUGCACAGCCGCACUCACUACUCUCUUCGGAAAAAGAAUACUUUCCGGCCACUGGAACGUGACCGACGUCUGCAACGGUUUACUCGGUGGGUUCGCUGCAAUUACCUCUGGUUGCUCCGUCGUGGAGCCUUGGGCUGCUAUCAUUUGUGGGUUCGUAGCGGCGUUGGUGUUGAUCGGGUGUAACAAAUUGGCGGAGAAGAUGAAGUUCGACGACCCACUUGAGGCGGCGCAGUUGCACGGCGGUUGUGGAGCUUGGGGGAUUAUAUUCACGGCGUUGUUUGCGUCGGAGAAGCUCGUGAACGAGGUUUUCCCGAACAAGAUUCCUCGGCCGUACGGAUUGUUCAUGGGCGGCGGUGGGAGGCUUCUAGCGGCUCAUAUUAUACAGAUAUUAGUAAUAGCCGGUUGGGUGAGUGCAACGAUGGGGAGUUUGUUCUUGAUUCUUCGUAAACUGAAGCUUUUAAGGAUCUCUGCUGACGAUGAGAUGGCGGGUAUGGAUUUGACCAGACACGGAGGGUUUGCGUAUGUUUACCACGACGAC